GACGAACGCUGGCGGCGUGCCUAAUACACGCAAGUAGAACGCUGAAGGAGGAGCUUGCUUCUCUGGAUGAGUUGCGAACGGGUGAGUAACGCGUAGGUAACCUGCCUGGUAGCGGGGGAUAACUAUUGGAAACGAUAGCUAAUACCGCAUAAUAGUAGAUGUUGCAUGACAUUUGCUUAAAAGGUGCAAUUGCAUCACUACCAGAUGGACCUGCGUUGUAUUAGCUAGUUGGUGGGGUAACGGCUCACCAAGGCGACGAUACAUAGCCGACCUGAGAGGGUGAUCGGCCACACUGGGACUGAGACACGGCCCAGACUCCUACGGGAGGCAGCAGUAGGGAAUCUUCGGCAAUGGACGGAAGUCUGACCGAGCAACGCCGCGUGAGUGAAGAAGGUUUUCGGAUCGUAAAGCUCUGUUGUAAGAGAAGAACGAGUGUGAGAGUGGAAAGUUCACACUGUGACGGUAUCUUACCAGAAAGGGACGGCUAACUACGUG
rnacentral:rRNA from 1 species